CCUACGGGAGGCAGCAGUGGGGGAUAUUGCACAAUGGGCGAAAGCCUGAUGCAGCAACGCCGCGUGAAGGAAGAAGGCCUUCGGGUCGUAAACUUCUGUCCUUGGGGAAGAAGACCUGACGGUACCCAAGGCGUCAGCCCCGGCUAACUACGUGCCAGCAGCCGCGGUCAUACGUAGGGGGCAAGCGUUAUCCGGAAUUAUUUGGCGAAAAGAGUACGUAGGUGGCAACCUAAGCGCGGGGGUUAAGGCAAUGGCUCAACCAUUGUUCGCCCUGCGAACUGGGAUGCUUGAGUGCAGGAGAGGAAAGCGGAAUUCCUAGUGUAGCGGUGAAAUGCGUAGAUAGUAGGAGGAACACCAGUAGCGAAGGCGGCUUGCUGGACUGUAACUGACACUGAGGUACGAAAGCGUGGGGAGCAAACAGGAUUAGAUACCCCGGUAGUC
rnacentral:rRNA from 1 species